rnacentral:rRNA from 1 species
UAGGGAAUAUUGCAAAAUGGGCGAAAGCCCGAUGCAGCAACGCCGCGUGGGCGAUGAAGGCAUUCGGGUCGUAAAGCCCUUUUUGAGGGGAUGAGGAAGGACAGUACCCUCAGAAUAAGCCUCGGCUAACUACGUGCCAGCAGCCGCGGUAAAACGUAGGAGGCGAGCGUUAUCCGGAUUUACUGGGCGUAAAGCGCGUGCAGGCGGAUUGGAGAGUUGGAUGUGAAAGCUCCCGGCUUAACUGGGAGAGGUCGUUCAAUACUUCCAGUCUUGAGUGCAGUAGAGGGAAGUGGAAUUCCGGGUGUAGUGGUGAAAUGCGUAGAUAUCCGGAGGAACACCAGUGGCGAAAGCGGCUUCCUGGACUGUAACUGACGCUCAGACGCGAAAGCUAGGGUAGCAAACG